rnacentral:rRNA from 1 species
UACGUAGGGUGCGAGCGUUAAUCGGAAUUACUGGGCGUAAAGCGUGCGCAGGCGGUGAUGUAAGACAGAUGUGAAAUCCCCGGGCUCAACCUGGGACCUGCAUUUGUGACUGCAUCGCUAGAGUACGGCAGAGGGGGAUGGAAUUCCGCGUGUAGCAGUGAAAUGCGUAGAUAUGCGGAGGAACACCGAUGGCGAAGGCAUCCCCUGGGCCUGUACUGACGCUCAUGCACGAAAGCGUGGGGAGCAAACAGG